ACUCAAAUGAAUAGACGGGGGCCCGCACAAGCGGUGGAGCAUGUGGCUUAAUUCGAUGCAACGCGAAGAACCUUACCUGGCCUUGACAUGCAUGUAGUAGAAGCCUGAAAGGGUGACGAUCCCGCAAGGGAAGCAUGCACAGGUGCUGCAUGGCUGUCGUCAGCUCGUGUCGUGAGAUGUUGCGUUAAGUCGCGCAACGAGCGCAACCCUCGUCGUUAGUUGCCACCAUUCAGUUGGGAACUCUAACGAGACAAACCCUUUUUAAGGGUGGGAAGGUGGGGAUGACGUCAAGUCAGUAUGGCCCUUACGGCCAGGGCUGCACACGUGCUACAAUGCCCAGUACAGUGGGAGGCGAAACCGCGAGGUGGAGCAAAUCCUCAAAACUGGGCCCAGUUCAGAUUGCAGUCUGCAACUCGACUGCAUGAAGCCGGAAUCGCUAGUAAUGGCGCAUCAGCUACGGCGCCGUGAAUACGUUCCCGGGCCUUGUACACACCGCCCGU
rnacentral:rRNA from 1 species